rfam:Glycine soja cultivar W05 scaffold4305_1, whole genome shotgun sequence.
AUACUUACCUGGAUGGGGUCAAUGGGUGAUCAUUUAGGCCCAUGGCCUAGGCUGGUGACUUCCAUUGCACACAGGAAGGGUGUCAGUCUAAGGUCUCCCCAAGUGGGAGAGCCUACAUCAUAAUUUGUGGUAGUGGGGGCUUGCGUUCGCGCAGCCCCUUC